GGGAAUCUACCCUGAACUGCGGAAUAGCUCCGGGAAACUGGAAUUAAUACCGCAUGUGCCCUGAGGGGCAAAGAUUUAUCGGUUCAGGAUGAGCCCGCGUCGGAUUAGCUAGUUGGUGGGGUAAUGGCCUACCAAGGCGACGAUCCGUAGCUGGUCUAAGAGGAUGAUCAGCCACAUUGGGACUGAGACACGGCCCAAACUCCUACGGGAGGCAGCAGUGGGGAAUAUUGGACAAUGGGCGCAAGCCUAAUCCAGCCAUGCCGCGUGAGUGAUGAAGGCCCUAGGGUUGUAAAGCUCUUUCAGUGGGGACGAUAAUGACGGUACCCACAGAAGAAGCCCCGGCUAACUUCGUGCCAGCAGCCGCGGUAAUACGAAGGGGGCUAGCGUUGUUCGGAAUUACUGGGCGUAAAGCGCACGUAGGCGGAUAUUUAAGUCAGGGGUGAAAUCCCGGGGCUCAACCCCGGAACUGCCUUUGAUACUGGAUGUCUUGAGUCCGGAAGAGGUGAGUGGAAUUGCGAGU
rnacentral:rRNA from 1 species